ACAUUUUAUUUCUCUGAAAACAGCCCUUACAUCUGAUGUCCCUUAUUUAUAGCCAUACUUGUGCUGUUUUGCAGUCACUGGAGCAACCAGCAACACUGUGCAACCAGUUCUAAGACAACAGCCAUGUUACUGAAACAGAACACUGCUGGAGUAUGCCUGCAAAGUCAGGACCAAAGGAUUCCCAGUGCCCAUUUGAGCGCGAUACCUUGCUGCAGGAAUGGAAUUCCUCAUAAAAGCAGGUGCACAAAAGAACUAGGAACAUUCCUUUUUUGGCCAGCUCCCCUUACUUGUGCUGGCUGCAGGCCACACAGGAAAUUCUCUUGUCAGGAACUCCCUCCCACAAAUCCAGACAUGCAGAAGCUCAGCACAGGAAGUCAGGCUGUCAUGGCUCCAGGCAUUGUUAAUCAUUUUUAAAUGAUCAUUAAAAGGCAGCAGCAGCAGCAAAAGGAUGCGGCUCUGGUGAGGAAUCAGCCCAACUCAGUGACUUUCAAGAGAGUUGGAGACAUGUACAGACAGGAGAGCCUUUCCAGGUACUGUAAAUGAGCAAGCUAGAGAUCUCACGUUGAAGAGAUAAUGAAGGAAAAAAGCAACAGGAAAGAGAGAAGGAUGUAAAUACAAAGAAAACAGUCAAGUAACUUGAAAGAAUGUUCUGGAAUUAUAUAUAUGUUGGCCCAACAUGUGUUUUCUUUAUUCGAAAUCUGAAAUUGUUGCUCUUGGAUAAAAAAAUUCGGAGAGUGUGGAUGAAGUGAAACAUUAGGUGAUCUCCAUUAAGGCCAUUAAGCAUUAAGGCCAAAAUAGAGUGAAAGCAGUUGCAGGAUUUGGAGUUACAUGUGCAAGAACUUCAGUCACCAUAUUUUGAUUAGUCAAACUAUGCUUUCCACCAUUUCUAAACACAGGCAGUACUUUUCUCUGCAUGCCAGACAUCUACUUUAUAGAAUCCCAUUAGUCCAUCAAAGCAGAUUAUUAAUUUAUGGGCACUAUAAUUUUAUGGAAGCAUCUGAUAUAGGAAGCUAAUUUCCUUAGCUGCCCUAUUUCAGUCUUAAUGUGUUUCUUCUGCAGUGUAAAGGAGAAAAAAAAAGUGCAUAUUUGAACUUAAUAAAAUACCAUUUAAGGACAGAAGAAACAUUUGUAAUGUGAUUGCACUUGUGGGAGCACCACCUUCUCCACAGAAAUAGUAAUUUCUGUGAACAAUAAAACUUCCUAGAUACUGUGAAUUAUUUCCUCAAUACAUUUAUUUCUAUCUGACAUCUAUUUACUGAGGAAACUGGUUACACAACUAAGGACAUAGAGGCCUGGCCAAGUUUAAAAAAUUUUUUCCAAGUGUUGAUACUGUUGGUAUUUCAGAAUUGCUCCCAACUGUUUUAAAACCAGAACCAUUCAAGGUAUUUUAUGACAGGACAUAAGGGUGGUAUGACAGGAAGGAGAUCAAAAGCAGAGCAGAUUUUUCCUAGACAUAGCAUUUGCUCUCCAGUCUCUACAGAACUGCUUUCCCAUCCAUAUCUGCACCUACCUCCUUUGAACAUCACCGCGGAAAUUGGAAUUUCACCCCAAUUUAGCAAGUAGUUGAUAGACACCAUUGUAACCCUCCAGAGUGCCAGAGAAGUGUUUUGAAGACACAAAGUCUGAAUUUCCAGACAGAAAACACAGUAUGUGUUUGCCCUUCUGAUUCAUACAUUCAGUUGAGACUGUGAGAAUACCUCUGCAGGGCAAGGAAUGAAAGACUGCUUUGUUCCAUCAUCCUCUUUCCCAGCCACCUGCAGGACAUCCCGACAUCACUGUCACAGGCUUCCCAGCACAGGAUGUGAGCACGUGCCUGGUACCACUGGUUGGUUUUUCAGCUGAUGCUUCUUCAUCAGCAGCAGUGGAGGUCUGCAAGCACAGG